UUUUCUUAGUGGAUUUUCUUUGCGUGAUUGGUCCCGUGGGUUUUUCACUCCGGAUUGGAGUUUUCCCACGUUAAAUUCUCGGUGUGCUGUUUUAUUUUUCGCUAUUUCGUUUUAUUUGCAUCGAGAUUUUUGUGUUUGCCGUUUUUACACCUAUUCACCCCCCUCUAGGUGUUACUUACCUUUUAGAUCCUCGGGAUCCAUAUCU
rnacentral:lncRNA from 1 species